rnacentral:rRNA from 1 species
AGAGUUUGAUCAUGGCUCAGGACGAACGCUGGCGGCGUGCCUAAUACAUGCAAGUCGAGCGAGCGGAACCAACAGAUUUACUUCGGUAAUGACGUUGGGAAAGCGAGCGGCGGAUGGGUGAGUAACACGUGGGGAACCUGCCCCUAAGUCUGGGAUACCAUUUGGAAACAGGUGCUAAUACCGGAUGAUAAAGCAGAUCGCAUGAUCAGCUUUUGAAAGGCGGCGUAAGCUGUCGCUAAGGGAUGGCCCCGCGGUGCAUUAGCUAGUUGGUAAGGUAACGGCUUACCAAGGCGACGAUGCAUAGCCGAGUUGAGAGACUGAUCGGCCACAUUGGGACUGAGACACGGCCCAAACUCCUACGGGAGGCAGCAGUAGGGAAUCUUCCACAAUGGACGCAAGUCUGAUGGAGCAACGCCGCGUGAGUGAAGAAGGUUUUCGGAUCGUAAAGCUCUGUUGUUGGUGAAGAAGGAUAGAGGUAGUAACUGGCCUUUAUUUGACGGUAAUCAACCAGAAAGUCACGGCUAACUACGUGCCAGCAGCCGCGGUAAUACGUAGGUGGCAAGCGUUGUCCGGAUUUAUUGGGCGUAAAGCGAGCGCAGGCGGAAAAAUAAGUCUAAUGUGAAAGCCCUCGGCUUAACCGAGGAACUGCAUCGGAAACUGUUUUUCUUGAGUGCAGAAGAGGAGAGUGGAACUCCAUGUGUAGCGGUGGAAUGCGUAGAUAUAUGGAAGAACACCAGUGGCGAAAGCGGCUCUCUGGUCUGCAACUGACGCUGAGGCUCGAAAGCAUGGGUAGCGAACAGGAUUAGAUACCCUGGUAGUCCAUGCCGUAAACGAUGAGUGCUAAGUGUUGGGAGGUUUCCGCCUCUCAGUGCUGCAGCUAACGCAUUAAGCACUCCGCCUGGGGAGUACGACCGCAAGGUUGAAACUCAAAGGAAUUGACGG